rnacentral:rRNA from 1 species
AGCGUAGGCGGAUUUUUAAGUGAGAUGUGAAAUACUCGGGCUUAACCUGAGUGCUGCAUUUCAAACUGGAAGUCUAGAGUGCAGGAGAGGAGAAGGGAAUUCCUAGUGUAGCGGUGAAAUGCGUAGAUAUUAGGAGGAACACCAGUGGCGAAGGCGGCUUACUGGACGGUAACUGACGUUGAGGCUCGAAAGCGUGGGGAGCAAACA